rnacentral:rRNA from 1 species
CACGUAGGGGGCCAGCGUUGUCCGGAUUCAUUGGGCGUAAAGCGCGUGUAGGCGGCCAGGUAGGUCCGAUGUGAAAUCUGGAGGCUCAACCUCCAGCGGUCAUUGGAAACCAUCUGGCUAGAGUCCGGAAGAGGAGAGUGGAAUUCCUGGUGUAGCGGUGAAAUGCGCAGAUAUCAGGAAGAACACCAAUGGCGAAGGCAGCUCUCUGGGACGGUACUGACGCUGAGACGCGAAAGCGUGGGGAGCGAACAGG